rnacentral:lncRNA from 1 species
ACAAUUAGCUUUGAGAAGCUAUAAUUUUCAAUUUGACUGUCCGAUUGUUGUAAAACUUCUACCACUAGUAUCUUUGCAAGCCUUCUAAAUGCUCAAAAAGUUUCAAUCCAAUGCAACUUACAAAUUGCAAGAAAACGUCGUAAAUCCACACUGAUGUCCCUUGACCGACGCUUAGAAAGUUGAUGAUGAACUUUGAAUUACAAAUUC